rnacentral:lncRNA from 1 species
GAGGCAGGGGAAUUGCUUCAACCCAGGAGGCGGAGGUUGCAGUGAGGCGAGAUUGCACCACUGCACUCCAGCCUGGGCAACAGAGCGAGACUUGGUCUACACGCUUUGUAAUCUAAAACAUUCUCUACCAAUACCUCAAUCAGUGAAUUCUUGCUUUAUUGAUACAUUCUAGUAUUCAGUUGUGAUUUUAAUAUGCUAUUUUGGUACUUUCUGCUUUCAGUUUUCAUUGCUGUGGCUAUUGCCUUAAACAGAAACAAAAAACUAAAACAAUUUUACAACCAUCCAAAAGAGGCUUGGAAACUUUUUUUUGGCUGGAUAUCCAUAGCACAAUUUAAUUCAGUAAACAUAAACAGUUAAAAUUAUUCCAGUACACAACCAUGUUUUAAAAAAGAGAUUACACCCAAUUUUGGCAACAACACCCAGGAAAUAAGCAUUCUUUUACAUUUGGUUCAAACUUUCUGAAUGGCAGUUGUGCAACACUUGUUGUGAAAAACUUUAGAAUAUUAUAAACAUGUUAAUCCUGUAUUUCCAUUUCUGUGAAUUCAUCCAAAAGAAAUAACCAUGGAUAUGGGUAGAGACAGAGCCAUAUGGAAUGCACACUGCAGUGGUGAACACAUGGCCCAGCUCUGCCAUCAAGGAGAAGCAAACCUUUGGGAAGGUUUCCCUUGGCCCCUACAGUGUUGGCGUCACAGACAGGAUCCUAAAGCUGCUCUACUUUUCUGGAAGCCACAGUCCAGGGAACCCAGGACCUGACAAAGCAUCAG